rnacentral:rRNA from 1 species
AUUGAACGCUGGCGGCAUGCCUUACACAUGCAAGUCGAACGGUAACAGGUCUUCGGAUGCUGACGAGUGGCGAACGGGUGAGUAAUACAUCGGAACGUGCCCGAGAGUGGGGGAUAACGAGGCGAAAGCUUUGCUAAUACCGCAUACGAUCUCAGGAUGAAAGCAGGGGACCGCAAGGCCUUGCGCUCACGGAGCGGCCGAUGGCAGAUUAGGUAGUUGGUGGGAUAAAAGCUUACCAAGCCGACGAUCUGUAGCUGGUCUGAGAGGACGACCAGCCACACUGGGACUGAGACACGGCCCAGACUCCUACGGGAGGCAGCAGUGGGGAAUAUUGGACAAUGGGCGCAAGCCUGAUCCAGCAAUGCCGCGUGGGUGAAGAAGGCCUUCGGGUUGUAAAGCCCUUUUGUACGGGAAGAAAUCUUGUCGGUUAAUACCCGGUGAGGAUGACGGUACCGUAAGAAUAAGCACCGGCUAACUUCGUGCCAGCAGCCGCAGUAAAAC